UCCGGGAACGCGACCGCAUCAACUCGGAACACCGUCGCGCUCUGGACGCCGCUGCUUCGCCUUUGCUCGUCGCCCAGCUUCCACGGUUCGUGACAAGCUGAGCCACUUCGCCACGAGCUUCAUCAACCUCUGUAGAUCAAGAAUCCCGAAGGAAUCGACGCGAGGUGGACCACGGUGGGAGAUCCUCUUCUUUUUCUUCCAACUCUGGCCGCCGACGCCAUUCCUUUCUUUCUCCUUCUCUGUAGAAGCCCGGGAGUACACCGUCGACGACGACCGUAGCAGUUGCGCCGUCGCCGAACCAGUACACCGUCGCCAAGACUUCGCCGAGCCGCGUUUGAUUCUUGAUAAUUGCAUAAUCGGUGAAGAAGUGGAUUAGGUGCUAACAAUUCUCUAAUCAAGGCAAGUUUUCUCCUCCCAUCCUUUGAACACAUUGAAUCCCAUGAUUUGAGGAAUGAAAAUAUUUGUUUGCAAAGUUGCAUGUGAACUUAGACUAUAUCGGUAUUUGAAAUUGGGUUAAGGUAGUUAUGACCUAUUUGCUGCAUAUUCCACCUUGAAUAAUUGAUCCUCUUGCUGUUUGAACCCCUAGAAAUGAUUAGAGUACAUUCAUUGUGCUCAAAUGGGUUUAUAUAUGCUCUAUGUGCAACUACUUGCUUAGCCAUGCUUAGAAAUAUGCAAAUGCUCAUUCCAUCUAUAAUUAAAAUGUGAAUUUUGAUACAUGAACCCUUGCUGGAAUAAAAUGAAUAUGAUGGGUAUUUGCGAACUAAAAUGUGUAAAAUGUGAUUUUAUACUUGGGCGGCAAGUGGUGUGCAUAUGGUGUUAGUUGCAUACCGAUAGGGGAAGUGUUUGCCCAAGCCCAUAAGGACCGAACUUGUGUCACCCAUUUAAAGUUAUCCGUACAUCCACAUGUGCU